UGGGUGAACUAUGGGGCAUUUGCCCGGAGUUCAUGCUCAGCAUCAGGGUCAAAGCAAAGGGAACUCUGACAAUGAUUCCAUUGUGAACUUGUUCUGGGAAUGCCAUGAUGAUUCUCUAUCAUGUUCCUCGUACACUGCACCAGCACCACUGCUUCCCUUCCCAGUGAGAACCCGAUCAAGCUUUAUCAUGCAGCCCAGAAGGGUGGGGGAAAGAAAAAGAAUUAGGAGAAAAUGUUGUAAAAGUAAUGAGAUAAUAUGAGAAUGUGCUUUGGGAACUGCGAAUCUGGAGUCACUGGUCCAUGAGGAAUCUAGGAUAAGAAGAAGGAAGCUGUGAAGAAUGGUUGGCUAACAGUGCUGGCAAGGAAUUCAGAUCAACAUACCUCUCAAAAGAAUGGAAGUCUCUUAAACUCAGGAUUUGGAUUGCCAUGGGAACUUUUCAGAAUGGACUUUCACAAAAGCUUUGCUCUGAGAGCAUGGAAGUUGGCUACAACGUUGCCUGGGAACAAUACAAAGGAGGAUGGUUUUGAAUGUCAGUAACUUUUCUGAAUAUCCAGCCUACAAAAUAAAACUUUUUCUUUAAUUGUAA
rnacentral:lncRNA from 1 species